rnacentral:misc_RNA from 1 species
GAUGAAGAACGUAGCGAAAUGCGAUAAGUAGUGUGAAUUGCAGAAUUCAGUGAAUCAUCGAAUCUUUGAACGCACAUUGCGCCCCUUGGUAUUCCAUGGGGCAUGCCUGUUCGAGCGUCAUUUCACCACUCAAGCCUGGCUUGGUGUUGGGCGACGUCCCCUUUGGGGACGCGCCUCGAAACGCUCGGCGGCGUGGCACCGGCUUUAAGCGUAGCAGAAUCUUUCGCUUUGGAAGUCGGGGCCCCGUCUGCCGGAAGACCUACUCGCAAGGUUGACCUCGGAUCAGGCAGGGAUACCCGCUGAACUUAAGCAUAUCAAUAAGCGGAGGA